UACAACUCUGAGAGGUGGAUCACUCGGCUCGUGUGUCGAUGAAGAGCGCAGCCAACUGUGUGAAUUAAUGUGAACUGCAUACUGCUUUGAUCAUCGACAYUUC
rnacentral:rRNA from 5 species